rnacentral:rRNA from 1 species
UUGACCUCAAAUCGAGUAGGACUACCCGCUGAACUUAAGCAUAUCAAUAAGCGGAGGAAAAGAAACUAACAAGGAUUCCCCUAGUAACGGCGAGUGAAGAGGGAAGAGCUCAAAUUUUAAAUCUGGCGUCUUUGGCGUCCGAAUUGUAAUCUAGAGAAGUGUUUUCCGUGACGGACCGUGCAUAAGUCUCCUGGAAUGGAGUGUCAUAGAGGGUGAGAAUCCCGUAUAUGGCACGGACUCCCGUUGCUCUGUGAUACACUCUCGACGAGUCGAGUUGUUUGGGAAUGCAGCUCUAAAUGGGUGGUAAAUGCCAUCUAAAGCUAAAUAUUGGCGAGAGACCGAUAGCGAACAAGUACCGUGAGGGAAAGAUGAAAAGCACUUUGGAAAGAGAGUGAAACAGUACGUGAAAUUGUUGAAAGGGAACGCCUUGAAGUA